rnacentral:rRNA from 1 species
UACCAGCACCCCGAGUGGUCGGGACGAUUAUUGGGCCUAAAGCAUCCGUAGCCGGUCCUACAAGUCUUCCGUUAAAUCCACCUGCUUAACAGAUGGGCUGCGGAAGAUACUAUAGGGCUAGGAGGCGGGAGAGGCAAGCGGUACUCAGUGGGUAGGGGUAAAAUCCGCUGAUCCAUAGAAGACCACCAGUGGCGAAGGCGGCUUGCCAGAACGCGCUCGACGGUGAGGGAUGAAAGCUGGGGGAGCAAACCGG